AGGGUUCGAUCAUGGCUCAGGAUGAACGCUGGCGGCGUGCUUAACACAUGCAAGUCGAACGAACCUUCGGGUUAGUGGCGGACGGGUGAGUAACGCGUGAGAAUCUGCCCUCAGGAGGGGGAUAACGGCUGGAAACGGCCGCUAAUACCCCAUAUGCCUAUUGGUGAAAUGAAUUUCGCCUGAGGAUGAGCUCGCGUCUGAUUAGCUAGUUGGUGAGGUAAUGGCUCACCAAGGUUUCGAUCAGUAGCUGGUCUGAGAGGAUGAUCAGCCACACUGGGACUGAGACACGGCCCAGACUCCUACGGGAGGCAGCAGUGGGGAAUUUUCCGCAAUGGGCGAAAGCCUGACGGAGCAACGCCGCGUGAGGGAUGAAGGCCUCUGGGCUGUAAACCUCUUUUCUCAAGGAAGAAGAUAUGACGGUACUUGAGGAAUAAGCCACGGCUAAUUCCGUGCCAGCAGCCGCGGUAAUAC
rnacentral:rRNA from 1 species